GGACCCGCACAAGCAGUGGAGCAUGUGGUUUAAUUCGACGCAACGCGAAGAACCUUACCAGCGUUUGACAUGAGAAGUGCCGGUUACAGAAUGGUAACCUUCAGUUCGGCUGGCUUCUACACAGGUGCUGCAUGGCUGUCGUCAGCUCGUGUCGUGAGAUGUUGGGUUAAGUCCCGCAACGAGCGCAACCCUUAUCGUUAGUUACUAACAGUUCGGCUGAGGACUCUAGCGAAACUGCCGGUGAUAAGCCGGAGGAAGGUGGGGAUGACGUCAAGUCCUCAUGGCCCUUACGGGUUGGGCUACACACGUGCUACAAUGGUAGUGACAAUGGGUUAAUCCCAAAAGCUAUCUCAGUUCGGAUUGUCGUCUGCAACUCGACGGCAUGAAGUCGGAAUCGCUAGUAAUCGCGUAAC
rnacentral:rRNA from 1 species